AUCACUUCCGGGGCGUUACCAAGAAGCUGUAGGGAAGUGACGUAGGGUGCGCGGGUGGUGCGAUGGAGCCGCAGCAGCCGCAGCAGCCACAGCAGCCGCAGCAGCAGCAGCAGCUGAGAAACUUGCGGGACUUCCUGUUGGUCUACAAUCGGAUGACGGAACUCUGCUUCCAGCGCUGCGUGCCCAGCUUGCACCACCGAGCUCUGGAUGCUGAGGAGGAGGCCUGUUUGCACAGCUGUGCUGGAAAGCUGAUCCAUUCCAACCACCGCCUCAUGGCCGCUUACGUGCAGCUCAUGCCUGCCCUGGUACAGCGCCGCAUCGCAGACUACGAGGCUGCCUCGGCUGGGCCAGGUGUUGCUGCUGAACAGCCCGGAACCUCACCAUCAGGCAGCUAGCCCUCCUCAACCCCAGGAAGGGAGGCACUGGAUGGGCCCUCAAAUUGAAGGAGCCAGUGGACCUUGGGCUGAAUGCAGCCUAUUUCAGGUUUCUGAUACUCUGAGCAAAGAACCCAGCCAAGCCAUGCUAAACAUGGAUCUGCAGAACUACAAGAUAUCCAAGUAGAGCCAUUAAGGAGGCAGAUGGACGUGCAAAUCUGGAUUGCAGGGCAGAGACCCAGCCAGACUGAUCACCUAUUCUCAAAGCGUGUGGGCAGCCAGCAGGGUUGGUCUGGGCCGCAGUGCUUCAGCUUCCCUGUCCUCGCCCUAGCCCCUCGCCCUGCCCUUGUGCGACCCCGGACCAGCACGGAUGAUGACUCCUCCCCUUUCCGGUUUCUGAGGGUUCCGGAAUUCUGGGGUGAAGGCUCGGGCCUUUAGGGACCCUGUAACGGUUCUAACAGCUGGGAGGGGAUGGAGCUGCGGGUGAGUCUCCAGCUUAUAAUCCUCUUCCCUUUGCCCUCAGACCUCCCUUGCCACUGCCCCCAGGAAGGUCCCCUCCUCCCACACUCCCAGGGACCCCCUGCCCCUCCCCCUCUUCUUCUCCCCUUCCCUCUCUCCUUCCUUUUCCUCCUCCUAUUCCUCUUCCUCCUCCCCUUCCUCCUUCUCCUCCUCCUCCUUCCAGCUUGGUCCUUUGCCACUUUUUCCUCUCUACACUCCCCCCAACCUCAUCUGAACCAUGUAGUUCUCUGUGCUUCCUGUUCCCAAGAGCCCCCCUCAGCCCAUGUUCAGACAGGACUGGGGCUUUGUUGCCACAGAGUGACCACCUGUUCCUCCCUUCAGGCCAUCCCUGGGCUCCACUCCCAGUGACGUUCCUUGCUGUUACCAAAGUUCUCUGAGUGAGCCCUUUCCAAGUGUGCAUCAGUUUGUGCAAGUGAUCACUCCUCCAUGUGCCAGUCUCUCUCUAUGGGCAGCUGUGAGUAGAGUGAGCCUGUGCUUGGGACCCAAGUCUUGGUUCACCAGUUUCUCCAACAGGCAGUUGGGAUGAAACCUUACCAGCACAUCAGUCUCUCUUCCCUUCCGUUGCCUCCUGUACCCCUUACACCAGGUGAGGGGGACUGUGUCCUGGGUGGUGGGAAGGAACUCUUGUGCAGAGAGGGCCCCUGCCUUUGUCUUGGGCCUGCUUCUUACCAGAGUCAUUGGGGAAGCUGUUGUCCUCUGCUGUUCUGGCUCUGCCCUGCAGCUGCCCUGCAGCUCCAUCCAUUUCCCUGUCCUAAGUCCCUCCCCUCCCCUGUCCCCCAGCCCCUUAGACCCUGACAUUCCUAGCCCAGAACCUAAGGCCCCUUCUCUCACCCCUGUUCUGGGCUGGGCCAAGCAGGUGAGACCCAGCAGCCAGGAGCCUGGAACUGGCAGUCAGAACCUGAACAGUGGGCAAGGUCAGUUCGACAGCAGCUGAAUGCCCAGCUCCUCUUGGUCUCCGAGCCAAAGGCGGACUUGUCUCCUGAAGAGGCAUCACCUGAAGCCCUUGAAUCUCAGCACUCCGUCUGUGUUCCAGACACGGAAGAGCAGCUCCAGGACCGUCAGAGGACACAGAGACAGUCGCCAAAGGCAGUGAGCCAGUCAGAGCAGCCCACAGCGCUGGAGCUCCUGGUAGCUGAGCUCCAAACUCUGUUCUCAGCUGUCCUGCGGGAUGGCAGCCCUGCAGCUUGGCACUACCUGCAUGCGGUGCUGCGUCUGCUGCCUCCAUAUCGUGUGCUGCUUGUUGGUCACCUUGAUUUGCUGCCCUUCCUGGAGCAGCUGUCCCACUGGGCACCCUGGGUCCAAUCCCAGCUCCAGCUGGACCUGCUAGAUGCCAUAGAGCAGGCCUUUCCCCCAGACACCUCUUUGUUAGAGAGUGCCUCACAUAUUGAGUGCUGUUCCCAGAAGCAGAAGUUCCGUCACAGGCCCCCACACCCAGCCUGCCCUUUUGUGCAGGCCCGCUGGGGUGGGCAGCAUGUGAGGGAGGAGUUGGCUACAUGGCUGCGACCACUGACACUGCCAGAGCUACAGCGCAGCCUGGGUAUUGUUGGUGCCCAGGUGGCCCUGAAAGAGACCUGGUGGCUAGAUGGCCUUAGCCUCCUGCCCUUGGCACUGGCCACAGACAUCCCCGUACGAUAUGAAAGCAGGGACACUGAUGAUGCAGAGGAGGAGCCUGUUGGAAGAAAAGAGACUAAGUAAGUGAGGGACCCAGAGUGGGGCUUUGAGCAGAGGGGAAAAAGAAGAAACUUAACGGGUGCCUCCAGCAUCACUUCGAAGUCUAGGGCCAGCUCCCUAUUGAUUUUAGGCAUUAGCCUGAACCCCAAGCUAUGCUGGUUGUAGCUGUUUCUUUCUCCCUUUUUGUCUGCAAAUAAACCAAGUGUUCUAAGUGUUAAA